rnacentral:lncRNA from 1 species
UUUUUUUUUUUUUUUUUUAAUGUUGAAGGCCUCAUCUGACUAGACAGGAAAGAAUAUCCUGUAACGAUUCCUUUUUGCCAGGGUCCUUUGCUCUCAGCAGAACAGUUUGUUUCUGUUUCUUAGGCCUUCCUGUGGAAACCCUACCGUUUCCUGGCAUCAGUGCCCACUGAAAGAACAAGUUCACGUUUGUUCUUCCCCGAGCAGAGAGAAUGUGUGAGCUGGUUUCUUCAGAGGAGGAGUUGAAGCUGUCCCCAAGCCAGGUGUUAGGUGGUUGGGAGGCCCAGAUGGUUUCUUUACUUCCCCUGUUAGAGAGCAGCUCAUCCCAUUCAGGCGCCGUCCUGUUCAGCUCCAGUUCACCAGGAGUCAUUUCCUGUCCUACUUAGUGUCCACUGCCUGCUUGGGCAUUCUUCCUGUGGUUUUGUUUGAUUCAGCUCUUUUCUAAAAAAACAUUUUUAAUUAUGUGUAUGUACAUCUUUGUACAAGUGCCCUAAGGAGGUCAGAGGAGUCCCAUCAUCCCCUGGGAGCUGGGUUAAAGCCUGAUGUGGGUGCUGGGAACUGAACUUAAGUCUCUCCAGCCCCAGAACUCUGUGUGUGUGUGUGUGAGAGAGAGAGAGAGAGAGAGAGAGAGAGAGUAUCAUUGUAUAGAUGAGGCUGGGGGAGGGGGCAGUGGAGGCUGGGGGACAACCUGUGAGACUCUCUUCUCUCCUUCCACUAUUGGCUCCCAAGGGUUAAGCUCACCUCAUUAGGCUUGAUAGCAAGCACUUGUCACCACUGCUCUAUUGCACUGGCCUGGCCCUGAUCUUGAACUUCUGAUCCGUCUGUCCCAGCCUCCCCAGUCCCGGGACUGCACGUGUUAGCCACCGUAUGGUGCAUGAUACAUCUCUAGCAUAUGAAUUACAGUGACAGAUUUAAGAUUCUUUUCAUUGACAAAGUAUAGAAGAAUUUCACACAAGCUCCUGAAGAUUUAAAUCAUUGUCAUUUAUUAACUAGCCUUGCAGGGGGAAACUUCAAUAGAUUUCAAUGCAAUUAGAACAAUAGGCUGGCCUUGAACCCAAGAUCCUUCCACCUCAGCCUCUGGAGUACUGGCACCACAGGCUUUCACUACCGUGAGGAGCCUUAAACAGUGUUUUGAAAAAGCAGGAAUCUGUCAGGAUAUGUGGUCCACUUGAGUGUGCUUCAUCACUUCGGAGAAAGCUGGGCAAUUGUCAUUACCUUCACUUCAUGGAUAGGAACUUAGAAAGCUGGGCCUGGCGGUGUUUGUUCCUGUCAGUAUCUAUCAUUCAUGGUGCUGAGGCAAGAGAACUGCAGCCCAGGAGAUUAAGCCCAGCCUGGAUAAUAUAGGGAGACUGUCUCAAAAAAUAAAAAAUAA